rfam:Triticum urartu cultivar G1812 contig531583, whole genome shotgun sequence.
UAUGUACUUUCUCCGUCUGAAAAUACUUGUCAUUAAAAUGAAUAAAAAAAUGGAUCUAGAACUAAAAUACAUCUCAAUACAUCCCCUUUUAUUCAUCUUAUUAAUGACAAGUAUUUCCAGACGAAGGGAGUAUCAU